rnacentral:rRNA from 1 species
UAGGGAAUCUUCCGCAAUGGGCGAAAGCCUGACGGAGCAACGCCGCGUGAGUGAUGAAGGUCUUCGGAUCGUAAAACUCUGUUAUUAGGGAAGAACAAAUGUGUAAGUAACUAUGCACGUCUUGACGGUACCUAAUCAGAAAGCCACGGCUAACUACGUGCCAGCAGCCGCGGUAAUACGUAGGUGGCAAGCGUUAUCCGGAAUUAUUGGGCGUAAAGCGCGCGUAGGCGGUUUUUUAAGUCUGAUGUGAAAGCCCACGGCUCAACCGUGGAGGGUCAAUGGAAACUGGAAAACUUGAGUGCAGAAGAGGAAAGUGGAAGUCCAUGUGUAGCGGUGAAAUGCGGAGAGAUAUGGAGGAACACCAGUCGCGAAGGCUACUUUCUGGUCUGUAAAUGACGCUGAUGUGCGAAAGCGUGGGGAUCAAACAGG